rnacentral:rRNA from 1 species
CAAAGACUGACGCUCAGGUGCGAAAGCGUGGGGAGCAAACAGGAUUAGAUACCCUGGUACUCCACGCCGUAAACGAUGUCGAUUUGGAGGCUGUGUCCUUGAGACGUGGCUUGCGGAGCUAACGCGUUAAAUCGACCGCCUGGGGAGUACGGCCGCAAGGAAAACUCAAUGAAUUGACGGGGGCCCGCACAAGCGGUGGAGCAUGUGGUUUAAUUCGAUGCAACGCCAACAACCUUACCUGGCCUUGACAUGUCUGGAAUCCUGCAGAGAUGCGGCAGUGCCUUCGGGAAUCAGAACAAAGGU